rnacentral:rRNA from 1 species
GACGGAGGAUGCAAGUGUUAUCCGGAAUCACUGGGCGUAAAGCGUCUGUAGGUGGUCAAAUAAGUCAACUGUUAAAUCUUGAGGCUCAACCUCAAAAUCGCAGUCGAAACUAUUAGACUAGAGUAUAGUAGGGGUAAAGGGAAUUUCCAGUGGAGCGGUGAAAUGCGUAGAGAUUGGAAAGAACACCAACGGCGAAAGCACUCUGCUGGGCCGACACUGACACUGAGAGACGAAAGCUAGGGGAGCGAAUGGG